ACGGGUGAGUAACACGUGGGAACGUACCCUUUGGUUCGGAAUAACGCUGGGAAACUAGCGCUAAUACCGGAUACGCCCAUGGCCUUUGGCCCUGGGGAAAGGCUUGCUGCCGAAGGAUCGGCCCGCGUCUGAUUAGCUAGUUGGUGGGGUAAUGGCCUACCAAGGCGACGAUCAGUAGCUGGUCAGAGAGGAUGAUCAGCCACACUGGGACUGAGACACGGCCCAGACUCCUACGGGAGGCAGCAGUGGGGAAUAUUGGACAAUGGGCGCAAGCCUGAUCCAGCCAUGCCGCGUGAGUGAUGAAGGCCUUAGGGUUGUAAAGCUCUUUUGUCCGGGACGAUAAUGACGGUACCGGAAGAAUAAGCCCCGGCUAACUUCGUGCCAGCAGCCGCGGUAAUACGAAGGGGGCUAGCGUUGCUCGGAAUCACUGGGCGUAAAGGGCGCGUAGGCGGCCAUUCAAGUCGGGGGUGAAAGCCUGUGGCUCAACCACAGAAUUGCCUUCGAUACUGUUUGGCUUGAGUAUGGCAGAGGUUAGUGGAACUGCGAGUGUAGAGGUGAAAUUCGUAGA
rnacentral:rRNA from 1 species